ACAUUCGUAGUGUAGGGUUAUCAUCUGAGCUUCCCAAAGUGGAUUUGCUUAGGACCCGGGUUCGAGUCCCGGGGAUGUA
rnacentral:tRNA from 1 species